UGAGGUAGAGGUCGCGAAUACGAUCAGUAAACCAGGAGAGGCAUAUGAGCUGCCGCUAGCAUCCGGGCUGAAAGGCGUAUUCGCCGAAAUCUGCGAGUAAUGCUCUAUUGAAAUAUACUCCAGGUUGGGGCUGUUUUCCGAAAGGGACAGAACUGUCAUAGCAUGAUUCUCAUUUUGAAAGGGAAC
rnacentral:ncRNA from 1 species